UACGUAGGGUGCGAGCGUUAAUCGGAAUUACUGGGCGUAAAGCGUGCGCAGGCGGUUCGUUAAGUCAGCUGUGAAAGCCCCGGGCUCAACCUGGGAACUGCGGUUGAAACUGGCGAACUAGAAUCUGGCAGAGGGGGGUGGAAUUCCACGUGUAGCAGUGAAAUGCGUAGAGAAUGUGGAGGAACACCGAUGGCGAAGGCAGCCCCUGGGCUAAGAUUGACGCUCAGGCACGAAAGCGUGGGGAGCAAACAGG
rnacentral:rRNA from 1 species